CGGGCGGGUGAAGCGUGAGACUUGCAAAGAAAAGCGGGACCAGAAAGGAAAUACCGGGGAAGGAGUGGAGGAACCAGAGCGGCAGGCUUAGGUAGACCUUGCAGCUCCACAGCAUGGAUGAGACCAAGGGCACCUUGGCCCUUCACCUGGCCAAGGGCAGGGUGAAGUCAGAAGAGGGGUUUGCAUGCACUGCUCGGGAGAUCACAUCCUCCAGCCCCAAAAUGAGUCUGGCUGGAAUAUGCAAGCAUGGCUGGCCCUGGGAAACUUGGCCAGGUGACCCCAGAAGCUUCCAGCAGAGACUUGGCCUGGCAGCCCAGAAUCUAUAAAAGGCACAGCCAGGAGCUGCCAGAGGGAUUUAUCUUGCUGCGGACACUGAGCUGAAGCUGCAGGAUGCUGCCUGCUCCAAGAAUCUGGACUCUCCACGGACCUUUUGGGUGGCCAGUCAGUCCCCAGGACUUAGUGAUUGUGUGUUUGCAUGUGUCUCCGAGUGUUUUUCCUCCUAAACCCUGAACAUUUCUCCCCUCUACUUUCACCAGCUAUUCUUGUGAAAAAUAAAUUGAACAUAGCUUUUA